UACACAUGUGUUAAUGGACAGUGUUUACCUUUGUAUUUUUUUUUAUUUAUUGUGUUUUUCUGACAUAACAGUUGUCAGAUUUAGUGCCACAUUAUUGUUUUUAAUUAAAUAUAUGGAUUCUGGUGAUUAUUUCUUUGGCUUGUUUACGGAAAUGAAGGUCAUUCGUUUCUUGUGGAGUUAUUGAAGAAAUUACCGGAUUGGAAAAUUUAAUUAAUAGGAACCCUAUAAAAGAUUUCAAUUUUAAAUUGGUUUCAAGGAUGUAAAAAAAACGAAAAAUCUAAUUAAUCGGAAAAUAGUGAGGCUGAAAAAGGAAUUUUCCGUAUUUCAUCUUUCAAUUCCAAUUCAUCGAAUUUUU